CCUACGGGUGGCUGCAGUGGGGAAUAUUGGACAAUGGGGGGAACCCUGAUCCAGCCAUGCCGCGUGUGUGAAGAAGGCCCUCGGGUUGUAAAGCACUUUCAGUGAGGAAGAACGCCUGGUGGUUAAUACCCAUCAGGAAAGACAUCACUCACAGAAGAAGCGCCGGCUAACUCCGUGCCAGCAGCCGCGGUAAUACGGAGGGUGCGAGCGUUAAUCGGAAUUACUGGGCGUAAAGCGCGCGUAGGUGGCUUGAUAAGCCGGUUGUGAAAGCCCCGGGCUCAACCUGGGAACGGCAUCCGGAACUGUCAAGCUAGAGUGCAGGAGAGGAAGGUAGAAUUCCCGGUGUAGCGGUGAAAUGCGUAGAGAUCGGGAGGAAUACCAGUGGCGAAGGCGGCCUUCUGGACUGACACUGACACUGAGGUGCGAAAGCGUGGGUAGCAAACAGGAUUAGAUACCCUGGUAGUC
rnacentral:rRNA from 1 species